UACGUAGGGUGCGAGCGUUGUCCGGAAUUAUUGGGCGUAAAGAGCUCGUAGGCGGCUUGUCGCGUCGGAUGUGAAAGCCCGGGGCUUAACUCCGGGUCUGCAUUCGAUACGGGCAGGCUAGAGUUCGGUAGGGGAGAUCGGAAUUCCUGGUGUAGCGGUGAAAUGCGCAGAUAUCAGGAGGAACCCCGGUGGCGAAGGCGGAUCUCUGGGCCGAUACUGACGCUGAGGAGCGAAAGCGUGGGGAGCGAACAGG
rnacentral:rRNA from 1 species